UUUAAGACAGCUUAAUAGUACUUUCACAUAUUGGCAUUCGGUUAGUGUCUACCUUGAUAAUAUAAAUAUAACAAGAAAAAUCACAUCCUGAAGGAAUUCAUGUGAAUUCCUGUAGUAUAAGACAAAUGAUAAGUGAAAUGUUUUAAAGCUGUUCUGAGAUCCAUAGAAGGGCAAACUCAACCAAAAUAAUGGACUUAUUUGUGUGUCUGUAAUUGUGAACUACUCCGUAUCGUUUAAGGUCAUUCACUAUUUUUGUGUGUCUAGCACCUUGCUUGGACAUAUGACAGGCAGUCAGUAAGUUUUGUUCAAUGAAUAAAUGGAAAAGAUAUUAUUUGAGGUAGGUCUUCAAUGUUGGCAGGACUUAAGGGAGGGGAAGGUAAACAGUAACCUGAUUCAUGAGCAUAGAUUAAAAAAAUGGAACCUUGUUUUUCUGUGCUGGGAGGUCAGCAUGGGGCAAAAUCAAAUAAUUACAGGACCAUAAUAAGCAAUUUGCUGUUAAUUUGAAACCAAUGCCAGAUCUGUUUUAUUUGCAGGUGACAAUAUGUACAGUUGUGAAAAAUGCAAAAAGUUGAGAAAUGGAGUGAAGUUUUGUAAAGUACAAAAGUUUCCUGAGAUUUUAUGCAUCCACCUUAAAAGA
rnacentral:sRNA from 1 species